AGCGAACGCUGGCGGCGUGCCUAACACAUGCAAGUCGAACGUGAAAGGGAGCAAUCCCAAGUAAAGUGGCGUACGGGUGAGUAACACGUAGGUAAUCUACCCCAGAAUCUGGAAUAACCGGCCGAAAGGCUGGCUAAUACUGGAUAGAGCGACGGAAUCCGUAAUUGGGUUUUUCGGGAAGGGGAGCCUGUAAAAAGGCCUUCGUUCUGGGAUGAGCCUGCGUCCCAUCAGCUAGUUGGUGAGGUAAAAGCUUACCAAGGCAAUGACGGGUAGCUGGUCUGAGAGGACGAUCAGCCACACUGGAACUGAAACACGGUCCAGACUCCUACGGGAGGCAGCAGUGGGGAAUCUUGCGCAAUGGACGAAAGUCUGACGCAGCAACGCCGCGUGAGUGAAGAAGGCCUUCGGGUUGUAAAGCUCUGUCGAGUGGGACGAAAAUGCUUGGAGUUCACAGCUCCAGGAACUGACGGUACCACUAAAGGAAGCACCGGCUAACUCCGUG
rnacentral:rRNA from 1 species